UACGUAGGGUGCGAGCGUUAAUCGGAAUCACUGGGCGUAAAGCGUGCGCAGGCGGUUCUCCAAGUCCGUUGUGAAAGCCCCGGGCUCAACCUGGGAAUGGCAGUGGAAACUAGGGGACUUGAAUCUGGCAGAGGGGGGUGGAAUUCCACGUGUAGCAGUGAAAUGCGUAGAGAUGUGGAGGAACACCGAUGGCGAAGGCAGCCCCCUGGGCUGAGAUUGACGCUCAGGCACGAAAGCGUGGGGAGCAAACAGG
rnacentral:rRNA from 1 species